rnacentral:precursor_RNA from 12 species
GGUGGGGCCUCGUCCAGCCCUGGGAAGGGGAGGAGCGAGGAAGGGGAUGGGAUGGGCUAACCAGGGUCCAUCCCCUGCCUCUCUUCUCCCUUUCCUGGGGCAGCUCCUGCAGCAAAACA